GAUGAAGAACGCAGCGAAAUGCGAUAAGUAAUGCGAAUUGCAGAAUUCCAGUGAGUCAUCGAAUCUUUGAACGCACAUUGCGCCCAUUGGUAUUCCGAUGGGCAUGCCUGUUCGAGCGUCAUUAUCAACCCUCAAGCCCCCGCUCGCGGGGCGCUGGCGUUGGGGAUCGGCCGUCCUCGCGGCGGCCGGCCCCGAAACACAGUGGCGGUCUCUCGCGGACUCCCCUGCGUAGUAGCACUACCUCGCAGAAGGGACGAGCGGGCUGACCACGCCGUAAAACCCCCCACUUCUCCAGGUUGACCUCAGAUCAGGUAGGAAUACCCGCUGAACUUAAGCAUAUCAAUAAGCGGAGGA
rnacentral:misc_RNA from 1 species